AACGAACGCUGGCGGCAUGCCUAAUACAUGCAAGUCGAACGAUCACUUCGGUGGUAGUGGCGCACGGGUGCGUAACGCGUGGGAAUCUGCCCUUGGGUUCGGAAUAACAUCGGGAAACUGAUGCUAAUACCGGAUGAUGACGUAAGUCCAAAGAUUUAUCGCCCAGGGAUGAGCCCGCGUAGGAUUAGCUAGUUGGUGGGGUAAAGGCCUACCAAGGCGACGAUCCUUAGCUGGUCUGAGAGGAUGAUCAGCCACACUGGGACUGAGACACGGCCCAGACUCCUACGGGAGGCAGCAGUAGGGAAUAUUGGACAAUGGGGGCAACCCUGAUCCAGCAAUGCCGCGUGAGUGAUGAAGGCCUUAGGGUUGUAAAGCUCUUUUACCCGGGAUGAUAAUGACAGUACCGGGAGAAUAACCCCCGGCUAACUCCGUGCCAGCCGCCGCAGUAA
rnacentral:rRNA from 1 species